UGAGUAAUGUCUGGGAAACUGCCUGAUGGAGGGGGAUAACUACUGGAAACGGUAGCUAAUACCGCAUAACGUCGCAAGACCAAAGAGGGGGACCUUCGGGCCUCUUGCCAUCAGAUGUGCCCAGAUGGGAUUAGCUAGUAGGUGGGGUAAUGGCUCACCUAGGCGACGAUCCCUAGCUGGUCUGAGAGGAUGACCAGCCACACUGGAACUGAGACACGGUCCAGACUCCUACGGGAGGCAGCAGUGGGGAAUAUUGCACAAUGGGCGCAAGCCUGAUGCAGCCAUGCCACGUGUGUGAAGAAGGCCUUCGGGUUGUAAAGCACUUUCAGCGAGGAGGAAGGUGGUGAACUUAAUACGUUCAUCAAUUGACGUUACUCGCAGAAGAAGCACCGGCUAACUCCGUGCCAGCAGCCGCGGUAACACGGAGGGUGCAAGCGUUAAUCGGAAUUACUGGGCGUAAAGCGCACGCAGGCGGUUUGUUAAGUCAGAUGUGAAAUCCCCGGG
rnacentral:rRNA from 1 species